rnacentral:misc_RNA from 1 species
GAUGAAGAACGCAGCGAAAUGCGAUACGUAAUGUGAAUUGCAGAAUUCAGUGAAUCAUCGAGUCUUUGAACGCACAUUGCGCCCCCUGGUAUUCCGGGGGGCAUGCCUGUCCGAGCGUCAUUGCUGCCCUCAAGCACGGCUUGUGUGUUGGGCCUCCGUCCUCCUCCCGGGGGACGGGCCCGAAAGGCAGCGGCGGCACCGCGUCCGGUCCUCGAGCGUAUGGGGCUUCGUCACCCGCUCUUGUAGGCCCGGCCGGCGCUUGCCGACACAUCAAUCUUUUUUCCAGGUUGACCUCGGAUCAGGUAGGGAUACCCGCUGAACUUAAGCAUUCCAAUAAGCGGAGGA